GGUCUCGUUGCUCAGUUGGCUAGAGCGUUGGCUCUACUAAAGCCAUCCCCUUGCUGACGUGGGUUCAAAUCCCACCGAAACAA
rnacentral:tRNA from 1 species